rnacentral:lncRNA from 1 species
UUCCUCAUCCAUUGCUCUCACCAUCGCCUUGAGCUCACUCCCGGGAGCGUCCUGGCGGCUGACGGCCUCACCAUCGAAGUGCUCCUUGGUCAAGCCGGUUAACCAAGAGGAAGCCUGGCCCCAGUCGAGGUCGGGAAUCGGUUUUCAUCCUCCAGAGUAGACAAACUGGGGAGCUUCCUACGCGCGAUCGAAUAGGGAAGCUUAGGCGACGCCACACGGCUCCCU